AACGAACGCUGGCGGCAUGCCUAACACAUGCAAGUCGAACGAGACCUCCGGGCCUAGUUGCGCUCGGGUGCGUAACGCGUGGGAACCGGCCCUUAGGUUCCGAAUACUUCCCCUUAAGGGGUGCUAAUGCCGGGUAAUGUACUCGGACACAAGAUUUAUCGCCUUUGUAUGAGCCGGGGUUGAUUUCGCCAGUUGGGAGUGUAAGAGCCUAUUAGGGGGUCGAUCCUUAGCUGGUCGGAGAGGAUGGUAAGCCACACUGGAAGUGUGACACGGUCCAGAGACCUACGGGAGGCAGCAGAGGGGAAGAUGGGACAAUGGGCGCAAGCCUGAUCCAGGGAUACCGCGUGGGUGAAGAAGGCCGUCGGGGUGGAAAGCCCGUUUGUUGGGAAAGAAAAGCAGCAGGGUAAUACCCCGCUGUUCUGACGGUAGCCAAAGAAUAAGCACCGGCUAAAUUCGUG
rnacentral:rRNA from 1 species